rnacentral:tRNA from 1 species
GCGGGUGUGGCGGAACGGCAGACGCAGCGGAUUCAAAAUCCGCCAUAGGUGACUAUGUGGGGGUUCAAAUCCCUUCACCCGCA